rnacentral:rRNA from 1 species
AUUGAACGCUGGCGGCAUGCUUUACACAUGCAAGUCGAACGACCGCGCGGGCUUCGUCCUCGUGGCGCGUGGCGAACGGGCGAGUAAUGCAUCGGAACGUGCCCUGCCUUGGGGGCUAGCAUGGCGACAGCCGGCCUAAUCCCGCACCCGACCUGAGGGUGAACGCGGGGGUCCGAUAGGCCUCGCGCUUUUUGCUCGCCCGAGGUGGGGUAUGCUCGUGGGUUGGGCAAGGGCUUACCAAGGCGACGUUCCGUGGCUAGUCUGCGUGGCCGACCUGCCACACGGAGACUGAGAAACGGCCAGACUCCUACGGGAGGCAGCAGUAGGGAAUUUUGGGCAAUGGGGGCAACCCUGACCCAGCCAUGCCGCGUGCGGGAAGAAGGCCUUCGGGUUGUAAACCUCUUUUGUUCGGGAAGAAAACCUGUGUGAGAAUACCUGGAGGUGAUGACGGUACCGGAAGAGAAAGCACCGGCUAACUACGUG